CGGCAUUUUAAAACACAACAGAGACAUUAUGUAAUUCAGGUACGCCUAGGGUUGCCUUAACGACAAAUGUUUUAGUUCAUUGCCAACACCCAUCUACACUAGAAAGGGAAUCCUCCCUUCAGUGGAAUGUACCAAACCACUGAACCUGACACAGGUUGAAAUCGCAGUCCAAGGGGAAGGUUGGGUUGUCUCUUGGUUCAAAACUUAAAUAAGACCUUAAAGCAAAGCAGAGAGGGAUCAUAUGUCUUCUGCAUCUUGUGCACCUAUAUGAGAUUCCUAAGAUGUGGCUGAUGGCGGUGAUGGGGUCGAAGCCUGGCAUGAUGGCCAGAGUAAAGUGCAGUCAGUGUGGGAGGAGUGGGUGACCGUUAACCUUUCUACGAAACUGAACUUUGACCUCUACGCUUUGCUUGAAGAGUCUCAAACAUUUGAGCGGCGCGCAGACCACGAAACUGAUGGGAGCAACUCUGGUGGAAAACAGUUACUGUAUCUAAAACCUCCAGAUGACACACGGCUCAUAUCUCCAUCUAUAUGUGUGAAAGUUUCUGUGGCUGUUUAAUGAGUGCUGAGGCCCCUGCAGUGAGCGGAAGGAAACCCCAUCAGACAAGCCCAGUCUCCUAAGGAACAACAAAGCUACUCAUCCGAACCUGUGGCUGUGCUUGUUCAACUGUACUGUAAAAUCAUGUACUUGAUGAUGGCUUAAGUACAUAUUUUCAGGGAUAUAGGUAAAGUAUAAGUCACAUGUGCUUGUCAGGGCAUUCAGAAAUAACAGAGCUGACACGAUUGCUGCUGGACCGGCCGACAUUUGAGAACACUGGGAUCCUGUGUGUGUGUGUGUGUGUGUGUGUCUGACAGUUUCAGUGUUUUAAGAAAAACAUGAACACAUCACAAAUUCCACCCCCACCCCUAAAACAUCUGUCAGUCAUUACUGGCCCUUCCCCCUUACCCCUAGGCAGGGCUCGAGAAACAACUUUUGACCUCUGACCCCAAGCAUAGAGCUCCACUUAAUGGUGCCCCCUUAUUUCCACAACAGGCUCUCUCUCUCUUUGUCUUCCUCUCCUACUUGAACUCAGAAUUAUCUGUAAUAAUCAAUGCAGAAGCAAAAUCAUAUUUGUCAUAUUUGAAAUCCUUUUGGGUGCUUUUAUUGGGAUCAAUAUUUUUGUAGUUUUAGAAAUCUUUUUGUUAGGAAAAUUAACUGAUUAAUCUUUACACUCAGCUUUAAUGUGUUUAUGGGACCUCUAUUUAUAUUCUUCAGCCCUCUCUCUUUUUUUUCUUUCUUUAAUUUUGUGUUAUGAUUUACUUCCAUUUCUUUUCCACUCUCAUCUUGUCCACCUUGACCUAUUGUCAGUAUAUAUCAUCCUUCUUCAGUGUCUGAGUGCAUUUCAUUGUCUCUCUCUACUCUCCCUCAAAUCAAUAACAGACACAUUAGCGUUUGGUGAGGGAAGAAUACAGGUGAUCCUGUAUCGAUCAGGAGCCAAAGACACACAAAUGCUCUUUCAUACACGUGCACACUCUCU